UUGGUGCAACCCUAGUUAUUUGUCAAUGGGGGUUUGAUGAUGAAGCCAAUCACUUACUAAUGCAAAGGGAGCUGCCGGCUGUCAGAUGGGUUGGUGGUGUUGAAUUAGAAUUAAUUGCCAUUGCGACAGGUAACCUACCUCUCUUCAUGUGUUUCUAAAUUAUAUUUUAUGGCAGUACGUAACAUUUAAGAACUGAGUGCAGGAGGGAGGAUUGUUCCAAGGUUCCAAGAGUUGACUACCGAAAAGCUUGGGAAGGUAUAACCUGAUCUGUCUAUAUCUUUCUUCAAACAAGUAAUAUGCAUGCUAUCUUGUGAGGGUUCAACUGAGAGUGAAUGUAACCGUCUGUGGGUUUCUGAGGGCGACCAUUCACCACUACUUGAUAUGCUGAAUGUUUAUCUCCAACCCUAAAUUCAACCAUCAUGCUAUCUUGGUAGCCGAGUUAGUGGUUUAGUCAGUUUCUUGAAAACACCAUGUGAAUGCCUUGCACUUCUGAACAGCAGUUACAUUAGAGAAUGCAGAGGAUGUAUUGUUUGAACUUUGAAUUGCAUAUGCUUGGUAGCCAUCUUAAUUUGCUUUGUAAAGCAUAAGAUUUAUGUUUGUUUGCUUGUCCUGCUUAAAUAGGCUGGAUUAGUCAGAGAGAAGUCAUUUGGAACAACAAAAGAUCGGAUGCUAUACAUCGAGAAGUGUGCCAAUUCCAAAGCUGUAACUAUUUUCAUCCGUGGUGGUAUGUUCUGAUGUAUAUGUUUUUUCUUUUCUUCAUAUUGACACAUGUAUGCUCAGUGAUUUGUUGGGCCAUGGAAGCAUUAUCCCACCAACCACGAAUCUGUUCGAGACACACUUUACAGUUAAUACUGGAUAGCCUGGAUAUUGUUAUAUCAAUUGGCAGUAUUCGUACUUUGAAUUUUCAAAGCAAUGGUUUUAGAAGAAAAUUUUAAUGCAUGUCAACUCCAUAUUAGAUCGUACCAACUGUUAAUUGUAAUACAUGAGAAAUAAUUCUUGUUUUCACUACAACUGAAGAAAUGCUAACAUGUUUUUAAUCGUGAUUAUAUUUUAUCGUACUUGCCAUACCUCAAGACGGCUUAUAAAAUGACACCAGUUAACUACAAAAUUUCUAAUUUAUGCCAUGAACUAUCCAAAGUCGUCCAAUAGACCCUCAAAUGUUGAUCUGGGUGAUUUGGGAGUCUGUUGGUAACUAAUCCACAUCAUUGAGCUAUAUAUUCAAUACCUCACUGGUAUUGAAUAUAACUCCUUGCCUGUUUGGAUCUCACUGGUUAUGUAGUUCUGGUCCUUUUAGUAAGGACAUGUUUGGUUUGUGCCCAAAGUUGCCCUGUCAAAAAAGUUGGCUAGCCAAAAUUUUUGUUGAGGUUUUGCUUGCCAACAAAUUGGAUAGAAAAUGAACUAGAGUUGGUAAAUGAACAUUUGCAUGCCAAACAGUUGGUAUCCAUCCAAACAAAAAGCCAAUGCUUUUGUGAUGACCGACAAAUUGGGAAGGUACACUUUGGUCACAAUCUGAACAUAAUCUAGGCACCUCUGUUGUUCAUGAUAAUGUCCAUAUUUCUUAUUGAAUCGUUAUACAGUCAUAUCAUAACAUUAAAGUCAUCUGUACUAUUUAGCUGUGUGCUGUUACUUUUUUAGGAUUAUAAGAUUGAAGUCCUCAAAAUAUUUGAGAAACACCAAGCCUAACUGCUGUCUUCCAGUCUUAGUUAGUAUACAUUUCAGUCAUAUUUAGGCUAAUAAUGUAUAUGGGUAUCUUCUGAUUGGUAUUCUGGUAUUGCACAGGCAACAAAAUGAUGAUUGAGGAGACCAAGCGAAGUAUUCAUGAUGCUCUAUGUGUUGCAAGGAAUCUGAUCAUCAACAACUCAAUUGUGUAUGGUGGUGGCUCAGCAGAAAUAUCUUGCUCAAUUGCUGUUGAUGCUGCAGCAGAUCGGCAUCCUGGAGUUGAGCAGGUAAUUGUGGUUUUGGAACUGGUACUACAAAAGAAAUCCAUAUAUGUUUUCUUCUAAUUGUGCUUCUUUGUAUUUUCAGUAUGCAAUCAGGGCAUUUGCUGAUGCUUUGGAUGCCAUUCCACUAGCUUUAGCUGAAAACAGUGGUUUGCCGCCUAUUGAUACUCUCACUGUCGUAAAAUCCCAACAUGUCAAGGUAUUUUGUUUUCUCUGUUGAUUUUGACAGUCACUUUAAAAUGUCGGUUGUCAGCCUGUUCUUCUCACUUUAAAACAUCCUCCUUGUUCUGUUAUACUCCUACUAAUUAGCCGCCUGUGUUUUUGUUGGGGUUGUGAUAGAAUUUAUUUCAGAAGUUACUUUUGGCUAGUGCCUGUGCUUAGUCCUUAUAGUCCUUGGUCCUUCCCCACCUGGCAUUGAUUGUGUUUGAUGCUGUACACGUUGUACCAUCAUGUAAGUCAUAUUAUGUAGUGUACGAUGUGAGGGUUCCAGAAACCAGCACUAGGCAUGCCACUGCCAGUCACCAGUGUUUUUGAGCUCAUAUCUACUACUCCCUCUGUAAACUAAUACUCCCUCCUUACCGGUUUAUAAGGCUCAUAUCUGAAAUUCCACCAACCAAGAUAAAUGUCUAUUGGCUAAUGUGAAAAGUGCCCAAUUAGCAUACUGGUAUUAAAUCUCAGCAUGUUCAAUUGCCAAUGCAAUUAACUACAGCGCCCCAAGCCCUCAUGCGUCCCACUCUCUCUCUCAUCCCGAUGGCACAUGCACUGGUCAUUUUUUUUAUCUCGUUUUAAUGUCCAGAUUGCUGCAUGCAUGCAGCUGAGGGAAGAAAGGAGCAACGACUUGGCUCUGUGAUUAUUUUUCUUUUGAAAAUGGUACCAGGGAAUCAAAUGCAACGCAGAAAUCGAAAAGACCUUAGCGCUUUAACCAAGCUACUCUCAAAACAAGCCUUAUAAAACGGAAAUCUGAAGAUUUUAAGUUGAGCCUUAUAAACAGGUAAGGCUGGUCAUAGUGGGAGUAACAUAGGUAGUAACAUAGAUGCCACAUAAGCAAAAAUGAUGAUGUGGCAAGUAGUUAAUGAGGAGAGAGGCAAAUAGAGUAACAUAAUAUGUUACCAUCACAUAGCGGUUUCCAAUGCAUAAUGAGUCUACAAAGUAAUAAAUGAAGGCAACUAUGUUACCACACCUAUGACACUACCCACUAUGAAGGUAGUAACAUAGACUAGUAACAUAUGUAUGUUACUAGUCUAAGUUACUCCCCACUAUGACCAGCCUAAGGAGGGAGUAGUGAUCUAAAAGAUCUUAUACGUAUUAGUUUACAGAGGGAGUAAUUGUUAUGGCAUUCCUUCUGAAUUGAGGGUAACAUUUCAUUUCUGAACAUAUUUCUAGGAGAACAAUUCCCGCUGUGGCAUUGAUUGCAAUGAUGUUGGUACCAACGACAUGAAAGAACAGAAUGUUUUCGAGACUCUGAUCGGCAAGCAGCAACAGAUCUUGCUGGCAACACAGGUGGUCAAGAUGAUCCUCAAGAUUGAUGAUGUCAUAACGCCUUCUGAGUAUUGAUGACGCCUUCAAGAACGGAAAUCGACUGUGCUAAGUGGCAUGCGCUCCAUUAGUCAGCAUAUUUUAUAUGGGUUGAUUUUGAUUUGCUCCUAGAAUUCUUACAUGGAGUGGUCACUUGUUUUGUUUGAUGAGCUAUCUAGUUUUGUGACGUGCGUUCACACUUUGUAGAGCUUGAGACAGUAGCACAAGUCAUGUCGAUACCAGUCCAUUCGUUGUGUUGUUCAGAUGCUUAAUGUAUGGUUUUGGACCACUAAUUUGUCUGCUUUAUCGUAAUUGUUUUAUUUUUUUGUUUGCUUUGUCUAAAGUAUCUCAGGUAAAGUUGGUGUGAGUCAGACUUACUAUAUGUAUCGAGUUGCUUGUUUUUGUACCGAUCAG
rnacentral:lncRNA from 1 species